rnacentral:rRNA from 1 species
GAUGAACGCUGGCUACAGGCUUAACACAUGCAAGUCGAGGGGAAACGACGGGGAAGCUUGCUUCCCCGGGCGUCGACCGGCGCACGGGUGAGUAACGCGUAUCCAACCUGCCUCUGACUGAGGGAUAACCCGUCGAAAGUCGGCCUAAUACCUCAUGGUAUCGUCUGCGGGCAUCCAACGACGAUUAAAGAUUUCAUCGGUCAGGGAUGGGGAUGCGUCUGAUUAGCUUGUUGGCGGGGUAACGGCCCACCAAGGCUACGAUCAGUAGGGGUUCUGAGUGGAAGGUCCCCCACAUUGGAACUGAGACACGGUCCAAACUCCUACGGGAGGCAGCAGUGAGGAAUAUUGGUCAAUGGGCGAGAGCCUGAACCAGCCAAGUAGCGUGCAGGAAGACGGCCCUAUGGGUUGUAAACUGCUUUUAUGCGGGGAUAAAGUGAGGGACGUGUCCCUCAUUGCAGGUACCGCAUGAAUAAGGACCGGCUAAUUCCGUG